rnacentral:ncRNA from 1 species
UUAGAGACGAGGAAGAAGCAAAAGCAUGCUUUUGAUGACAUCUAGAGAGUCUGUGGCUGGUGGAAACAGAACGUAGAAGGCAUGAAAUACACUUUGGAGUUUCCAGAUCAAAAGUCUGGACGGACGCCCGUUAAAGCGUAGAGUGCAUACAUGAUGUAUGAAUAAAGGUGGUACCGCGAGAUUUCGUCCUUUAA